UUCAUCUUCACCACCGUCAGUGAUUUGACAACAGUAGCCUCCUGCUCCUGAUCCAUCGAUGGGUUUUCCUUCUACAGCUUAGGGCACACCUCCUUCUGGUGGCCAUAGUAGCCACAACCAAAACAAACAUUUGGUUAAAGGCUGAAGUUAUUUGAUCGAUCUCGUGGUGGUGAAGAGACUUCGUUGUUCGAUCUAAGGUUGGGGAUUUCUUGGAGUUGCUUUUACGUAAGAAACGAUAUAGGUGUGUACCCAAAAUGUAGAAAACGAGGUUUUGGCAAAAGCCGAAAAUCCCACUGUCGAUGCCACACGAGUGUGUGGUUGCCCGUGUGGUAGGCCAUGUGCAACCACAUGGUCGUGCGAUCGACGAGGCCAGACCGUGCUUGCAAGAUAUGACCAUGUGAUAGCCAAGGCAAAAUUAGCCCGUGCAUGUCACACGGGUGUGAGCGUGUGAGCCCAUUUUCACUAAAUUGAUUGCUAAGGUUGCACGGGUCGCCCAAGUAGACUGUGAACCUAUUGUAGGGUCGGUGGAGGAAGUGUACUGAAAGGCUCUUAAGCCUAAUAUACUGGCAGCUCAGCUGCAAAUUACUGUUUUGUACCGCAUUCGGUACUAUCUGGAGUGUAGGGAUAGGUGGGUUGAUUUAAUCCCCACAUAAAGUGUAGGGUUGGACAAAGAUGGUGGUAGAGGCUGGUUGGGUAGGACCUUGUUAUUGAAUACGGCAUGACUGCUAUUGAUACUGUGAUGGCCUAAGGCCCUAAUGCAUACUGAUACUGUGAUGGUUUAAGGCCCUACUGCAUUUUUUUUACUGUAUUGAGAUGGGUUAAGGCCCAAACGAUUCUUCGAUCUUGAAAGGGCUUAGGCCCAAAAUCAGAUUUUUGUGCCUUUGUGUCAACCAUUGAAGAAUUGAUUCUCAAAAUGAUUUGAAAUGUUUCUACUGAGUAUGUGGUACAUCGAGUCUCCGGCGCCAAUCUUGUUAAAGGGCUAAAGUUAUUCGAUCGGUACCGUAGUGGUGAAGAGACUUCGUUGUUCGAUCUAAGGUUGGGGAUUGUUUCGAGUUGCUUUUACGUUGAAAAUGAUACAGGUGUGUACCCAAAACGUAAAAAAGGGUUUUGGAGAAAGCCGAAAACCCCACUAUCGACGCCAGACGGGCUUGUGGUUGCCUGUGUGGUAAGCCGUGUGCGACCACACGGUAGUGCAAUCAACGAGGCCAGGCCGUACGUGCAAGACAAGGUCGUAUGAAGGCCAAGGCCAAAUUGAGCUGUGCGGGCCAGACGUGUAUGGCCCCACACGGGCAGGUCUCAUGGGUGUGUGAGCCCAUUUUCACUAAAUUGAUUGCUAAGGUUGCAUAGGUCACCCAAGUCGACUGUGAACCUACUGUAGGGUCGGUAAUCCCCAGACCUAGGCGGAUCGGUGCGGCGGAGGACUCAACGGUGACCAUAGUUUCUGGACUUUACAUUUUUUUAAUUUAUGUUUUAUGGUUUUAUUAUUAUUGGGAUGUAAUUUGAGGACUCUUGGGACUUUUGCUUAAAUUUGGUUUUUUUUGUGGAAUUAUAAUUUCUAAUCGUAGAAAGUUCGGUUUUCAAAA